CCAACAAAAGAAAACCGUUGGAGAAGAAAAGAUCAGUCACCCACCACGUGUUCUAACGCUAGCGUUUGAGAAACACGCGUCAAGAUAAGGAUCCACCAUCUUCCUCGGGUGUUAGAAAGGAGCCACGACGACGGAGCUCCAGAAGACUAACCGGAGAAGAAGCCAUUCAAAUAAAACAGCCCUAACCCAAUCAAAAUCGAAAAUUCUAAUCCGACGGAUCAAUCGUUUCAGUAAAGAUAACUUAACUGCCUACAACCGACCU
rnacentral:lncRNA from 1 species